AUUGAACGCUGGCGGCAUGCCUUACACAUGCAAGUCGAACGGUAACAGGUCUUCGGAUGCUGACGAGUGGCGAACGGGUGAGUAAUACAUCGGAACGUGCCUAGUAGUGGGGGAUAACUACUCGAAAGAGUGGCUAAUACCGCAUGAGAUCUACGGAAGAAAGCAGGGGAUCGCAAGACCUUGUGCUACUAGAGCGGCCGAUGGCAGAUUAGGUAGUUGGUGGGAUAAAAGCUUACCAAGCCGACGAUCUGUAGCUGGUCUGAGAGGACGAUCAGCCACACUGGGACUGAGACACGGCCCAGACUCCUACGGGAGGCAGCAGUGGGGAAUUUUGGACAAUGGGCGCAAGCCUGAUCCAGCAAUGCCGCGUGCAGGAUGAAGGCCUUCGGGUCGUAAACUGCUUUUGUACGGAACGAAAAGCCCCGGGUUAAUACCCUGGGGUCAUGACGGUACCGUAAGAGUAAGCACCGGCUAACUACGUGCCAGCAGCCGCCGUAA
rnacentral:rRNA from 1 species